rnacentral:lncRNA from 1 species
UCAUUCUGUACAUGUCAGAUUAUGAAUUAGUAACUCCAAAAAAAAUCCCAAUCGUGUCAAACUUUCCAUUUUUGGAAUGGAUUAGGAUCAAGAUCAAACCUUAUUCCAUGGUAUUUACAUGAUGUUCCUCUUUAAGAAAACCCCCGAGAGGGCUUAGUUGAUCCAUGAUUUAUAUUUCAUCUUUCGUUUCCUUUUCGUUUGUUUCGAGAAAUCUAUCGAUCAAUUUCGAUUCUUUCUUUUUUCUUGAN